UGGGUAGAGAGAGCGUGACGUCACAAAUGCGUGUUCAACAUGGUUGGCUCGAAAAACACGUGACUUAAGGACGAUUGCUGUUGUUGACAUAUCGCAUCGGGGCGAAAAUACGUGUUAUGUGCUAAUUUUUGAAAAUGGUUCUGUAUUGCUGUGCGUUUGGAUGCAAGUCAAUACAUCAUAAAGGAAGCCAGCUAAGUUUUCACAAUUUUAAUCUUUUUCAGUUUUCCGAAGGAUGAAAACCGUAGAAGGUUGUGGGAAAUCAAAGUAAGACGACAAGAUUUCAAAGCAACUUCGGCGACAAAAAUAUGUUCCAAACAUUUCGAAGAGGAGUGCUUCGAUAUAGUGAAGUUUGGUGGUACAUGGCUAAAGAACACUGCUGUUCCCACAAUUUUCGAUUUCCCUCCGCAUUUGCUUACCACUCUAAACCCGAGGAAACCAGUCAAACAGUUGUGUUGUAGAGGAAUGUCACGACACUAAUGGAAAGAGAAGUAAACAAGGUUAUGUCCGAGAUACGACAAAGGCGACAUACUCGUCCGAAACGUAUGUGUCAACAGAGGCAGAAGGUGGCACCAGUUAUGUUUCUCCAAGAUACCAUUACAUUGGUGACUUUAAUGAACAGGAUAUUCAGUCUCCGAGGAAGGCCAAGAAGUUUCUUGCUAUUGUGAAAAAUGGACUAAAGAACCACAGAAAUAAGUGUAAUGCACUGAGGAUGAGAAAAAAAGACUUGUGAAGAAGUUUACAAUUAAAACCACUAAGAAAUUGCAAUGCAUUAAGCACUAGCCUUUACAUUAAUCAGUAAGUUCGGUCUAAAGUCAUAAUAUAACUUUUGCAUCACAGUAAUGCAACAGUUACACAAAGCAAUAUUAUUUUAUUUAUUUGUAUUACUUUCCAUAAAUCUAUUUGUAGUACAAGUCUCACUAGAUGUAGAAUAAAUAAAUUAUAAAAUUAUGCACAAUUCAUACAAAACUAAUUCACAGAUUCACACACACAAUACAAGGCAUAAACAAAACGUACACGUGGAAAUGGUGAACUGCGCUAUCACAUCUAUUCAAGGGCGCCCAUAGGAUGAAAAGGAGGG